rnacentral:pre_miRNA from 1 species
CUCCCUCCGCAGGCUGCCGCCCCCAGGCUGGGCUGGGCGAGUGUCUCUUCGAAAGGCCCACCCUCAAGCACGACUGGAGC